UUUGCGCCCACAUUUACAAAUCUUCACCAGAAUAUAAGAUCUCAUCACCUCAUACUUGAACUACAUCCAAUUACAAGAUACAUCUUGCCUAUAUCAACAAUUUCUCAGGAUGCCUUUGAAGUGGCCCGGCUUGUCAGUUACCAUCACCAAAUCUCCAGAGAGCGGUUACUCUUCAUAGCCAGAAUUAUUAAAUGAUCUUCAGGUCUUUCAGGGCAUACCUUGUGAUUCAGCUGAAACUGAAAAAACACUGAUGCAGUUAUAUUGUUUUCCUGGAAUUCUAAAUUGUACCAGUUACCCCAGAGGAUUGUCUGAAGAGAAAAAAACUGUAGGAUGUACUUUUCCAAGUUUUGCACACACUAGAAACCAGAAUUGAACAGAGUUUGCAGCUUUUCAAAACCAAAGGGCCUAACAUGGAGUCUGGGAGGGAACAUAAGCUUGCAUCUCCUUAUAUCUUGUGGAUCUUGAGAGGAGAGUUCUAUUUAACCUUCUGUUAUUCUUCCACCCAAUCUCUUAUGGUAUGUUUCAUCCAGUCUAUGAAUAGUCUCCCACAGUUGACUUCCUAGAACAAAGCUUUCCCAAAUGCCUGUGAAGCUACUCAUCUGGAAAGAAGCAAAACCACCAGAGACUGUCCCUGCUCACUUGCCCUCCAAACCAUAUCUGAACAGAUUUAUUUGAAACCUAUCAAUCAGAAUAGAAUUGAAGUAGUCUUUAUUAUGGUGAGGAAAAGAAAUAAAAAAUGUG